AUAAUGGGUCAGCGACUUAUAUUCUGUAGCAAGGUUAACCGAAUAGGGGAGCCGAAGGGAAACCGAGUCUUAACUGGGCGUUAAGUUGCAGGGUAUAGACCCGAAACCCGGUGAUCUAGCCAUGGGCAGGUUGAAGGUUGGGUAACACUAACUGGAGGACCGAACCGACUAAUGUUGAAAAAUUAGCGGAUGACUUGUGGCUGGGGGUGAAAGGCCAAUCAAACCGGGAGAUAGCUGGUUCUCCCCGAAAGCUAUUUAGGUAGCGCCUCGUGAAUUCAUCUCCGGGGGUAGAGCACUGUUUCGGCAAGGGGGUCAUCCCGACUUACCAACCCGAUGCAAACUGCGAAUACCGGAGAAUGUUAUCACGGGAGACACACGGCGGGUGCUAACGUCCGUCGUGAAGAGGGAAACAACCCAGACCGCCAGCUAAGGUCCCAAAGUCAUGGUUAAGUGGGAAACGAUGUGGGAAGGCCCAGACAGCCAGGAUGUUGGCUUAGAAGCAGCCAUCAUUUAAAGAAAGCGUAAUAGCUCACUGGUCGAGUCGGCCUGCGCGGAAGAUGUAACGGGGCUAAACCAUGCACCGAAGCUGCGGCAGCGACGCUUAUGCGUUGUUGGGUAGGGGAGCGUUCUGUAAGCCUGCGAAGGUGUGCUGUGAGGCAUGCUGGAGGUAUCAGAAGUGCGAAUGCUGACAUAAGUAACGAUAAAGCGGGUGAAAAGCCCGCUCGCCGGAAGACCAAGGGUUCCUGUCCAACGUUAAUCGGGGCAGGGUGAGUCGACCCCUAAGGCGAGGCCGAAAGGCGUAGUCGAUGGGAAACAGGUUAAUAUUCCUGUACUUGGUGUUACUGCGAAGGGGGGACGGAGAAGGCUAUGUUGGCCGGGCGACGGUUGUCCCGGUUUAAGCGUGUAGGCUGGUUUUCCAGGCAAAUCCGGAAAAUCAAGGCUGAGGCGUGAUGACGAGGCACUACGGUGCUGAAGCAACAAAUGCCCUGCUUCCAGGAAAAGCCUCUAAGCAUCAGGUAACAUCAAAUCGUACCCCAAACCGACACAGGUGGUCAGGUAGAGAAUACCAAGGCGCUUGAGAGAACUCGGGUGAAGGAACUAGGCAAAAUGGUGCCGUAACUUCGGGAGAAGGCACGCUGAUAUGUAGGUGAAGUCCCUCGCGGAUGGAGCUGAAAUCAGUCGAAGAUACCAGCUGGCUGCAACUGUUUAUUAAAAACACAGCACUGUGCAAACACGAAAGUGGACGUAUACGGUGUGACGCCUGCCCGGUGCCGGAAGGUUAAUUGAUGGGGUUAGCGCAAGCGAAGCUCUUGAUCGAAGCCCCGGUAAACGGCGGCCGUAACUAUAACGGUCCUAAGGUAGCGAAAUUCCUUGUCGGGUAAGUUCCGACCUGCACGAAUGGCGUAAUGAUGGCCAGGCUGUCUCCACCCGAGACUCAGUGAAAUUGAACUCGCUGUGAAGAUGCAGUGUACCCGCGGCAAGACGGAAAGACCCCGUGAACCUUUACUAUAGCUUGACACUGAACAUUGAGCCUUGAUGUGUAGGAUAGGUGGGAGGCUUUGAAGUGUGGACGCCAGUCUGCAUGGAGCCGACCUUGAAAUACCACCCUUUAAUGUUUGAUGUUCUAACGUUGACCCGUAAUCCGGGUUGCGGACAGUGUCUGGUGGGUAGUUUGACUGGGGCGGUCUCCUCCUAAAGAGUAACGGAGGAGCACGAAGGUUGGCUAAUCCUGGUCGGACAUCAGGAGGUUAGUGCAAUGGCAUAAGCCAGCUUGACUGCGAGCGUGACGGCGCGAGCAGGUGCGAAAGCAGGUCAUAGUGAUCCGGUGGUUCUGAAUGGAAGGGCCAUCGCUCAACGGAUAAAAGGUACUCCGGGGAUAACAGGCUGAUACCGCCCAAGAGUUCAUAUCGACGGCGGUGUUUGGCACCUCGAUGUCGGCUCAUCACAUCCUGGGGCUGAAGUAGGUCCCAAGGGUAUGGCUGUUCGCCAUUUAAAGUGGUACGCGAGCUGGGUUUAGAACGUCGUGAGACAGUUCGGUCCCUA
rnacentral:rRNA from 1 species